AAAACUUUAGGCCAGUAGGGCACUUGCCGCUAGUAAUAACACGUACCGAAAUAAUAAUAUUAAUAAUUUGCACUGGCAGAAUUUAGCAAAUAUUUCAGGCGCAUCUUUAUCAUGACCAUUGUCUUACAUGUACAAAAUACCACACGAUUAAUUGUCUUGUUGGAUUACUCGUCCCUUUGGACGAAGGAUGCGGGAAGGAACCGUUUGAUCCUGUAGGUGGGAAACGCGCCUGUCCAGGAUAAUUGUAUAUAAUACGUACAUAUAUAUGUGUAUAUACAUUUCUACGUCUGCAGUCAUUUCCGUGAACACUAAAAGUCCUGCAGUAUAAAAUAGGUACAACCUAAAUGUGCAAGUGGUAUAAUGUGAUGCUUUUGAUGAUAAAUUUUGGGUGUCAACCUGAUAUUACGAAUCUUAAUUUUCACUCUCCGAUCCUCAAGUUUACUGAGAAUAAUAUAAAAGAUAAACAACUUCUAAUACCAGAAAAAAUGUAGCAGAAGGAUUUGAGCGUUAAAGAAGUUAACGUUUCGACAAAAAUGUGAUUCACAAUUUAUACAUAAUGAAUAAUUUCGAGCGAUAAAGUAUUUACAAAAUUGUUUACAAACACAAAUAUUUUAAAGUUUUGUUAGCGAUUCUGUCAGACUUUUAUCAGUUAAACGUUAUGGUGCAUGGGAUAGAACGGUCCUGACAUUCACAGAAUUUUAGAAGAGAAAAUAAGUUUUGUUGCAGUUGAAUUCCGAGUGGGCUCAAGUGGAAGUGAUUGAUUUAAUCAAUGACGGAUCUGGAUUAGCAUUUGGAAUAGUCGGUGGUCGAAGCA